UCAAGAUUAGGUUUUUACCUAGGAUGUUGGGUACUUUAUAGGGACUGCCGGUGAUAAGCCGGAGGAAGGUGGGGAUGACGUCAAGUCCUCACGGCCCUUAUGGGCUGGGCUGCACACGUGCUACAAUGGUGGUUACAAUGGGUUGCGAAGUCGCGAGGCGGAUCUAAUCCCCAAAAGCCAUCUCAGUUCGGAUGGCACUCUGCAACUCGAGUGCAUGAAGUCGGAAUCGCUAGUAAUCGCGGAUCAGCAUGCCGCGGUGAAUACGUUCUCGGGCCUUGUACACACCGCCCGUCACACCAUGGGAGUUGGUUUAGCGUGAAGACGGUGUGCUAACCGCAAGGAAGCAGCCGGCCACGGUA
rnacentral:rRNA from 1 species